GCCAGUGUGGCAUAGUGGCUUAAGUGCUGGACUACAACUCUGGAGACCAGGGUUCGAUUCCUAGCUUGGCCA